rnacentral:rRNA from 1 species
CGUGUAGGCGGUUGGAUAAGUCAGAUGUGAAAGCCCUGGGCUCAACCCAGGAAGUGCAUUUGAAACUGUUCUACUUGAGUACGGGAGAGGAAAGUGGAAUUCCUGGUGUAGAGGUGAAAUUCGUAGAUAUCAGGAGGAACACCGGUGGCGAAGGCGACUUUCUGGCCCGAUACUGACGCUGAGACGCGAGAGCGUGGGGAGCAAACAG